AAGUCGUAACAAGGUUUCCGUAGGUGAACCUGCGGAAGGAUCAUUAACGAAUAACUAGAUGUGGUUGUAGCUGGCUUCUAGGAGCAUGUGCACGCCCGUCUUCUUAUUUUUCCACCUGUGCACCCAAUGUAGGCUUGGAUAACUCUCGCUCUCGGGCGGAUGCGAGGAUUGUCUUUGGACUCUCCUCGAAUUUCCAAGUCUAUGUCUUUCACAAACCCCAAUGAAAAACGAAGAAUGUAGUCAAUGGGCUUUCCAGCCUAUAAAAUAAUAUACAACUUUCAGCAACGGAUCUCUUGGCUCUC
rnacentral:misc_RNA from 1 species